GACGAACGCUGGCGGCGUGCUUAACACAUGCAAGUCGAACGGAAAGGCCCUGCUUUUGUGGGGUGCUCGAGUGGCGAACGGGUGAGUAACACGUGAGUAACCUGCCCUUGACUUUGGGAUAACUUCAGGAAACUGGGGCUAAUACCGGAUAGGAGCUCCUGCUGCAUGGUGGGGGUUGGAAAGUUUCGGCGGUUGGGGAUGGACUCGCGGCUUAUCAGCUUGUUGGUGGGGUAGUGGCUUACCAAGGCUUUGACGGGUAGCCGGCCUGAGAGGGUGACCGGCCACAUUGGGACUGAGAUACGGCCCAGACUCCUACGGGAGGCAGCAGUGGGGAAUAUUGCACAAUGGGCGGAAGCCUGAUGCAGCAACGCCGCGUGCGGGAUGACGGCCUUCGGGUUGUAAACCGCUUUCGCCUGUGACGAAGCGUGAGUGACGGUAAUGGGUAAAGAAGCACCGGCUAACUACGUGCCAGCAGCCGCGGUGAUACGUAGGGUGCGAGCGUUGUCCGGAUUUAUUGGGCGUAAAGGGCUCGUAGGUGGUUGAUCGCGUCGGAAGUGUAAUCUUGGGGCUUAACCCUGAGCGUGCUUUCGAUACGGGUUGACUUGAGGAAGGUAGGGGAGAAUGGAGUUCCUGGUGGAGCGGUGGAAUGCGCAGAUAUCAGGAGGAACACCAGUGGCGAAGGCGGUUCUCUGGGCCUUUCCUGACGCUGAGGAGCGAAAGCGUGGGGAGCGAACAGGCUUAGAUACCCUGGUAGUCCACGCUGUAAACGGUGGGUACUAGGUGUGGGGUCCGUUCCACGGGUUCCGUGCCGUAGCUAACGCUUUAAGUACCCCGCCUGGGGAGUACGGCCGCAAGGCUAAAACUCAAAGGAAUUGACGGGGCCCCGCACAAGCGGCGGAGCAUGCGGAUUAAUUCGAUGCAACGCGUAGAACCUUACCUGGGUUUGACAUGGAUCGGGAGUGCUCAGAGAUGGGUGUGCCUCUUUUGGGGUCGGUUCACAGGUGGUGCAUGGCUGUCGUCAGCUCGUGUCGUGAGAUGUUGGGUUAAGUCCCGCAACGAGCGCAACCCUUGUUCACUGUUGCCAGCACGUUAUGGUGGGGACUCAGUGGAGACCGCCGGGGUCAACUCGGAGGAAGGUGGGGAUGACGUCAAGUCAUCAUGCCCCUUAUGUCCAGGGCUUCACGCAUGCUACAAUGGCUGGUACAGAGAGUGGCGAGCCUGUGAGGGUGAGCGAAUCUCGGAAAGCCGGUCUCAGUUCGGAUUGGGGUCUGCAACUCGACCUCAUGAAGUCGGAGUCGCUAGUAAUCGCAGAUCAGCAACGCUGCGGUGAAUACGUUCCCGGG
rnacentral:rRNA from 1 species